GACGAACGCUGGCGGCGUGCCUAACACAUGCAAGUCGAACGGAAACGCCCUGCCUUUGUGCGGUGGUCGGGUUGCGACCGGGUGAUGUACACGUCUCUACCCUGUCGUUGUGUUUAGGUUAGCUUCAUGCCACAUGCGCCCUAUUCGGAUAGGAUUUCCCGGUGCAUGGUGGGGGUUGGAUAGUUUCGGCGGUUGGGGAUGGACUCGCGGCUCAUCAGCUUGUUGGUUGGGUAGUGGCUUACCAUGGCUUUGACGGGUAGCCGGCCUGCGAGGGUGAGCGGCCACAUUGGGACUGAGAUACGGCCCAGACUCCUACGGGAGGCAGCAGUGGGGAAUAUUGCACAAUGGGCGGAAGCCUGAUGCAGCAACGCCGCGUGCGGGAUGACGGCCUUCGGGUUGUAAACCGCUUUCGCCUGUGACGAAGCGUGAGUGACGGUAAUGGGUAAAGAAGCACCGGCUAACUACGUG
rnacentral:rRNA from 1 species